AGAGUUUGAUCAUGGCUCAGAACGUACGCUGGCGGCACGCCUAACACAUGCAAGUCGAACGAAGUAGCAAUACUUAGUGGCAGACGGGUGAGUAACAUGUAGGUAUCUGCCCUUUGGCCUGGAAUAACACGAGGAAACUUGUGCUAAUACCGGAUAAGUCUUUACGGAGAAAGCUUUAUGCACCAUUGGAUGAGCCUGCACUUGAUUAGUUUGUUGGUGGGGUAAUGGCCUACCAAGACUGUGAUCAAUAGCUGAUUUGAGAGGAUGAUCAGCCACAUUGGGACUGAGACACGGCCCAAACUCCUACGGGAGGCAGCAGUGGGGAAUCUUGCACAAUGGAGGAAACUCUGAUGCAGCGAUGCCGCGUGAGUGAAGAAGGCCUUUGGGUUGUAAAGCUCUUUCGUCGGGGAAGAAAAUGACUGUACCCGAAUAAGAAGGUCCGGCUAACUUCGUGCCAGCAGCCGCGGUAAUACGAAGGGACCUAGCGUAGUUCGGAAUUACUGGGCUUAAAGAGUUCGUAGGUGGUUGAAAAAGUUAGUGGUGAAAUCCCAGAGCUUAACUCUGGAACUGCCAUUAAAACUUUUCAGCUAGAGUAUGAUAGAGGAAAGCAGAAUUUCUAGUGUAGAGGUGAAAUUCGUAGAUAUUAGAAAGAAUACCAAUUGCGAAGGCAGCUUUCUGGAUCAUUACUGACACUGAGGAACGAAAGCAUGGGUAGCGAAGAGGAUUAGAUACCCUCGUAGUCCAUGCCGUAAACGAUGUGUGUUAGACGUUGGAAAUUUAUUUUCAGUGUCGCAGGGAAACCGAUAAACACACCGCCUGGGGAGUACGACCGCAAGGUUAAAACUCAAAUGAAUUGACGGGGACCCGCACAAGUAGUGGAGCAUGUGGUUUAAUUCGAAGAUACGCGCAGAACCUUACCAACACUUGACAUGUUCGUCGCGACUCUAAGAGAUUAGAGUUUUCGGUUCGGCCGGACGAAACACAGGUGCUGCAUGGCUGUCGUCAGCUCGUGUCGUGAGAUGUUGGGUUAAGUCCCGCAACGAGCGCAACCCUCACUUUUAGUUGCCAUCAUUUAGUUGGGCACUCUGAAAGAACUGCCAGUGAUAAGCUGGAGGAAGGUGGGGAUGACGUCAAGUCCUCAUGGCCCUUACGUGUUGGGCUACACACGUGCUACAAUGGUAUCUACAACAGGAAGCAAGACUGCGAAGUUAAGCAAAUCCCUAAAAGAUACCUCAGUUCGGAUUGCACUCUGCAACUCGAGUGCAUGAAGCUGGAAUUACUAGUAAUCGUGGAUCAGCGUGCCACGGUGAAUGCGUUCCCGGGUCUUGUACACACCGCCCGUCACACCAUGGGAGUUGGUUCUACCUUAAGGCAAGGUUUCAAACCCUUGACCACGGUAUAGUCAGCGACUGGGGUGAAGUCGUAACAAGGUA
rnacentral:rRNA from 1 species